ACGGAAAAAGGGGAUGGCGCUAAUACCGCAUACGUCCUACGGGAGAAAGCAGGGGACCUUACGGGCCUUGCGCUAUCAGAUGAGCCUAGGUCGGAUUAGCUAGUUGCGUUGGGAAAAGGCCUACCAAGGCGACGAUCCGUAACUGGUCUGAGAGGAUGAUCAGUCACACUGGAACUGAGACACGGUCCAGACUCCUACGGGAGGCAGCAGUGGGGAAUAUUGGACAAUGGGCGAAAGCCUGAUCCAGCCAUGCCGCGUGUGUGAAGAAGGUCUUCGGAUUGUAAAGCACUUUAAGUUGGGAGGAAGGGCAGUAAGUUAAUACCUUGCUGUUUUGACGUUACCAACAGAAUAAGCACCGGCUAACUUCGUGCCAGCAGCCGCGGUAAUACGAAGGGUGCAAGCGUUAAUCGGAAUUACUGGGCGUAAAGCGCGCGUAGGUGGUUUUGUAAGUUGGAUGUGAAAUCCCCGGGCUCAACCUGGGAACUGCCUCCAAAACUGCAUGACUAGAGUACGGUAGAGGGUGGUGGAAUUUCCUGUGUAGCGGUGAAAUGCGUAGAUAUAGGAAGGAACACCAGUG
rnacentral:rRNA from 1 species